CUUAAAAAAUUUCUCCCUACUUUUUUGAGUUCCCAAAUCUAACAUCUCCAGAACUUCCCAUUCACAUAACCACUUAUAGUAAAUUAUGCUAAUUAUUUUCAUUACAACAUGGAUUUUGUCUCAAGUUAUCAUAGAUGCUAGAAUGCUGAAAAUUUAUUGAAUAUCUAUAUAUGUUCUUCCUGCCGCUAAAUCUACUAACACCAACAUCGAUCAUUAUAUUGUAUCUAACAACUGAGAAAGUCAUCAUUUUUAAAGAAAAUUUUUACUCGUUCUUUUUUAUAAAGAUGAGUGACCCUUCGGAUUGUAGGAAAUUUUUAAAGCGUUUUGACGCGAUUAGUGGUAGGUUUGUUUCCUAUGUGCUCUGAUAUCAUCUCCCAAAUGGUAGUGUAGAAAGGUUGAUUAAACAAUCCCACUGCAGAAGGAAGCUUUUUGUAGGCGCAUGAUUCUGGUUCCCAUCUAUGGCCUGGACCCUUUCCCUUUUGUCAAAAGCACUUGAUGAAAACCAUUUGAAACAAAAGCACCCAACUUUUUUUUUUUUUUUCUCUCCAGGGCCCUAUUCUUCAGCAUCUAUUGUCAACACCAAAGCUGUCAUGUAUACACUGCCCAGUCUUGACUUGUGGCUUGCCUGACUGAAAAGCCCAAGAUUUCAAAUUCUUGGUGGAAAACCAGGGAUGUGGUGGUUGCUUUUUAGGAUUAUUAUGGAGUUUAGAGCCUAAGUGCCCAUGAUUUGCUGAAAUUGCUGGGUUUAGGAUAAGGACUAUUACAAUCAUGUUGUUCCUUCUCAGCUUAUCUGCUACCAUUGGCAAUAUUGUCCCCUUUUUCAGGUUAUGUACUGCUUUCGCGUCAUGAAAUUCUUCUUCUUCUUCAUCUUCUUCACUUGUGCUCUCAUUUUGAUCAGAUGAACAACAGCUGUCGUAUCUGUUUCUGUCAUUUUCGUGUUCUGAAUCUAUUUCAUCACUUGAUGUGUUAGACUGGUUUUGCUGAUCCUGUUCUUGAACAGGGUUCCCGGGUGGAAUUUUUUUGCCUUCCUUCUGUUUUGCUUGUUUCGAGAUGCUUACGUAGAGAAUACCUUCUUCAAGCCAUACUCUGGCAGUUUCAGGUCUCGAAUUCUCAGGUGGUUUGAAAGAUUGCUGAAAGAAGAUAUAUUUGCUUUCAUUCAUCUUCUUCUCUCCACUUAUGUUUAUAUGGCCUUCAUUAUCGACUUCAACCUUUAUUUCCUCCCUUCUGAAACCUUGAAUGAAGAAGCAUGAUGGGAAAGAUAUGAGAUUAUAGGUUUGCCUUACAUAACUACCCAGAUUUAGAAC